rnacentral:rRNA from 1 species
UGGGGAAUAUUGGACAAUGGGCGCAAGCCUGAUCCAGCCAUGCCGCGUGAGUGAUGAAGGCCCUAGGGUUGUAAAGCUCUUUCACCGGUGAAGAUAAUGACGGUAACCGGAGAAGAAGCCCCGGCUAACUUCGUGCCAGCAGCCGCGGUAAUACGAAGGGGGCUAGCGUUGUUCGGAUUUACUGGGCGUAAAGCGCACGUAGGCGGACUUUUAAGUCAGGGGUGAAAUCCCGGGGCUCAACCCCGGAACUGCCUUUGAUACUGGAAGUCUUGAGUAUGGUAGAGGUGAGUGGAAUUCCGAGUGUAGAGGUGAAAUUCGUAGAUUUUCGGAGGAACACCAGUGGCGAAGGCGGCUCACUGGACCAUUACUGACGCUGAGGUGCGAAAGCGUGGGGAGCAAACAGG